UAGGGCAUCACGAACCAUCCUGCUUCAAGGGAGCCUGCGGGUCUUUGACUGCAGCUUCAGCUAUGACCUGGAGUUCCCGGCUUCUCUGUGGGGCACCAGUCUGUAUGCUCCAUGUUAGAUAAUAAAAUGGCAUAUUCUGGGGUGGGCAGGAUCCAGGAUUCACCUGCAGAUGAACAGGGCAGGAAAAGCUUGAUAUGGGGUGUCGGGGGAAUCUGGUUGGCUUUAAAGGGAAUUUGGGGUCCUGUUCCUGAAUUUGGUAGGCAGCAUGCACGUAAGACUGAAGUGGGUUUGGCCAGAGCAUGGGCUGGAGUGCUUCCACCCUGCUACACGGACAAUGCCACAGUCUCACUUUUCCUAACUUUUUUUUUUUAAAUAAAAUGUUGUGAACAACA
rnacentral:lncRNA from 1 species